GCCAGUGUGAUGUAGUGGUUUAAGCAUUAGACUAUGACUUUGAAGACCAGGGUUCAAAUCCCCGUUCAGCCA
rnacentral:tRNA from 1 species